CUUCAGAACCUCAGAAGUUGAAUUAGGCUCCCGUGUGCCUUGGUUUGAGUGAGUGUGAAGAGUUUCCAAGAUACACAAUAAUAUGGUGGUAUUUUCCCUGAGGUAUUUAGAGAACAAGGUCAUCCCCAGCCCUGAAGCAGUUGUCCAAGGCGAAGCUCUGUUCCUAGAGCUCAGUGCUUAGUGCCCCCAAAACACAGGGCAGACUCUGGUAUUGAAUGAAGACAGAGAAAAUCCUGCUGGUUUCAGUUUCAUCCAUUGCACCAAGUCCAGGACCUGAGAACUUGCACUCACCUGGGCAAAAUCUCCCCCUAAGAAGUUAGUGAUGUUUGUCAAAUUGGGUGAGAACUCCCCACAGGAUGCUGUCUUGUCUUUCAGAGAGCUGUCCGUGGGAGGAUGCCAUGGUCUGGCUAAGUCUGCUGGAAGCCCCACUUACCAUGCCUCAUUCUGGAGGCCAGAAGUGUCUUGCCCAAGGCUGCAGAGCGCUAGGUGACAGAGCCAGGAUUUGAACCUAGGCUGUGCGACAGAGGUAUGCCCAGGCCCUCCCUGACUCACUGCUUCUCUUCUGCUGGACUUCUUCCUAGACCCCCAUCCCUAAAUUUCCCUAUCAGACCCUGGCUGCACCAAUACUUAUGGUAAGGAUAUCUACCUUGUUAAAGCAAACCAAAUAAAGCCUGAGAAGAACUCCAUACUUCUGUAUUUGAGUCCUUGUGGAUGAACUGUCACCUAGCUUAAUAGACAAAAUUGAAAACCCAAAUUA
rnacentral:lncRNA from 1 species